rnacentral:rRNA from 1 species
CACGGGGGGAGCAAGCGUUGUUCGGAAUUACUGGGCGUAAAGCGUGCGCAGGCGGUGAUGUACGACAGAUGUGAAAUCCCCGGGCUCAACCUGGGAACUGCAUUUGUGACUGCAUCGCUGGAGUGCGGCAGAGGGGGAUGGAAUUCCGCGUGUAGCAGUGAAAUGCGUAGAUAUGCGGAGGAACACCGAUGGCGAAGGCAAUCCCCUGGGCCUGCACUGACGCUCAUGCACGAAAGCGUGGGGAGCAAACAGG